AAUGAACGCUGGCGGCAGGCCUAACACAUGCAAGUCGAACGGAUCCUUCGGGAUUAGUGGCGGACGGGUGAGUAACGCGUGGGAACAUACCCUUUGGUACGGAAUAGCCUCGGGAAACUGGGAGUAAUACCGUAUGUGGUCGAGAGACGAAAGAUUUAUCGCCAAAGGAUUGGCCCGCGUUGGAUUAGGUAGUUGGUGGGGUAAUGGCCUACCAAGCCAACGAUCCAUAGCUGGUUUGAGAGGAUGCUCAGCCACACUGGGACUGAAACACGGCCCAGAAUCCUACGGGAGGCAGCAGUGGGGAAUCCUAGACAAUGGGGGAAACCCUGAUCUAGCCAUGCCGCGUGAUCGAUGAAGGCCUUAGGGUUGUAAAGAUCUUUCAGGUGGGAAGAUAAUGACUGUACCACCAGAAGAAGCCCCGGCUAACUCCGUGCCAGCCGCCGCCGUAAGAC
rnacentral:rRNA from 1 species